ACAUCCACGCGUCCUGGAGCGGAACCCCUUUAUCUAGACACAUACCCUGCCGCCCCCAGUCUUCCCCCAACCCCUCAGCAAUCUUUCUCAAACCCCCAACCAAGAUCAAGAUCCAUGGCCUGCUCUGCUUCAUCGCAGUCUGGUGCAACCGGAGGAUACAGAGCUCCCACGGGCAACGAAGGCUCGGGGGGUAAUGGAGGCCCCGAUGCCAAUGGCAAUCACCCUCUGCCGCUCAUCCCAUGCCCAUUAUGCGGCAACCGGCUCUCAAGUCUCAACAGCCAUUUCUCGCAAAGGAACCCGUCCCGGCACUAGAUGCUACAAGUGUUGAUUUUUACAAGCGGACAGUACAUGUUCUUCGAGUGGAGAGAGGGACAUGCAAAGCUCAUCGGUGCGAAUGUGGCCCCCGUUCAGCAUGCUGCACCCCCAGCAGCAGCUCCUCCAAAUGCUCAAAGAUCUGCAAGGCUUAAUCUACUCGUGAGCGUCACCAACAGACUUGCAACCCUCGUGAUGUCCAUUGUUCUGCUCCAACUCUUUGUUGGCAACCGGCAACUGAUAUUCCGCUCACAACCGUAUUAGGUAGGAAAUUAAUUAGGUGCUUAUGUAAGCCAGAUCUAGCCACAGCGUGUGUGAGGAAGGCCGCUAGGCCAAGCUUUUCGUGUAGUCAGCCUGGAACCCAUUUAGCAAGUUAAUGUAAUUGUGGUGUUCUGAACCUAUGCCUAGUUGCCUAUAUGUGUAUCAGUGUUUGUAAUCAAGGGUAUGUGUACUUACGCGUGUAAUCAACAUGAAAUCUCGAGGUGUCCUUUAUUCAACCUAA